rnacentral:rRNA from 1 species
AGAGUUUGAUCCUGGCUCAGGAUGAACGCUGGCGGCGUGCUUAACACAUGCAAGUCGAGCGAAGCACUUUUUUAGCACUCUUCGGAGGGAAGAGAGGGUGACUUAGCGGCGGACGGGUGAGUAACACGUAUGCAACCUGCCCGUGACAGUGGGAUAAUCCGGAGAAAUCCGGUCUAAUACCGCAUGAUCCCCUGUGGAGACAUCUCCACGGGGGCAAAGGAAGUAAUUCCGGUCACGGAUGGGCAUGCGUCGCAUUAGCUGGUUGGCGGGGUAACGGCCCACCAAGGCGACGAUGCGUAGGGGUUCUGAGAGGAAGGUCCCCCACACUGGUACUGAGACACGGACCAGACUCCUACGGGAGGCAGCAGUGAGGAAUAUUGGUCAAUGGGUGCGAGCCUGAACCAGCCAAGUCGCGUGAGGGAAGACGGUCCUAUGGAUUGUAAACCUCUUUUGCCGGGGAGCAAAAGGAGCCACGUGUGGCUCAUCGAGAGUACCCGGAGAAAAAGCAUCGGCUAACUCCGUGCCAGCAGCCGCGGUAAUACGGAGGAUGCGAGCGUUAUCCGGAUUUAUUGGGUUUAAAGGGUGCGUAGGCGGGACCUUAAGUCAGCGGUUAAAUCGCGGGGCUCAACCUCGCUCUGCCGUUGAAACUGGGGUCCUUGAGUGGGCGAGAAGUACGCGGAAUGCGUGGUGUAGCGGUGAAAUGCAUAGAUAUCACGCAGAACUCCGAUUGCGAAGGCAGCGUACCGGCGCCCUACUGAUGCUGAAGCACGAAAGCGUGGGUAUCGAACAGGAUUAGAUACCCUGGUAGUCCACGCAGUAAACGAUGAAUGCUAAUUGUGUGCCCCGACUGAGGGGUGCGUGAUAAAGCGAAAGCGUUAAGCAUUCCACCUGGGGAGUACGCCGGCAACGGUGAAACUCAAAGGAAUUGACGGGGGCCCGCACAAGCGGAGGAACAUGUGGUUUAAUUCGAUGAUACGCGAGGAACCUUACCCGGGCUCAAACGCAGGAGGGAUGUUUUUGAAAGGAGGCAGCUCUUCGGAGCCUCCUGCGAGGUGCUGCAUGGUUGUCGUCAGCUCGUGCCGUGAGGUGUCGGCUUAAGUGCCAUAACGAGCGCAACCCCCACCGACAGUUGCCAUCAGGUCAGGCUGGGCACUCUGUCGGGACUGCCGGCGCAAGCUGUGAGGAAGGCGGGGAUGACGUCAAAUCAGCACGGCCCUUACGUCCGGGGCGACACACGUGUUACAAUGGCAGGCACAGCGGGAAGCCACCUGGCGACAGGGAGCGGAACCCGAAAUCCUGUCUCAGUUCGGAUUGGAGUCUGCAACCCGACUCCAUGAAGCUGGAUUCGCUAGUAAUCGCGCAUCAGCCACGGCGCGGUGAAUACGUUCCCGGGCCUUGCACACACCGCCCGUCAAG